rfam:Oryza sativa (indica cultivar-group) chromosome 5, whole genome shotgun sequence.
UAUAAGUGCAGCCAUAGUUUUCCGCGUCCAACUUUAACCGUCCGUCUUAUUUAAAAAUUUUUUGAAAAAAUUUAAAAAUAUAAGUCACGAGUAAAGUACUAUUCAUGUUUUAUCAUCUCAUAACAAUAAAAAUACUAAUUAUAAAAAAAUUUAAAUAAGACGAACGAUUAAAAUUGGGCGCGGAAACUUAUGGUUGCACUUGUA